ACUUAUAAUCUUCUUAUUUUUCUUCUCCUGGAACUUGGAUCUAAAAUUGCCGAUGGCGAGACCUGAAUCUUCCGGUGCUAGAGUCAUCGCCUUGUUGACAUCGACUGCUUCUAUGUGGAAGAAAAAGUUCUGGGGAAGAUAGCCUCUCUUGUCCUGCAAGAAGUUUGUCUUGUUUAAGGUCGUGGUUCUGUGCUUGCUUCUCCUCAGCAUCUAAAAGUUGUGCUAUUAGAUGCGGAGAAGAAGCAAGCACAGAACCACGAGCUGUGCCUUUGGCUUUGGAGGCUUAAGCUUCUCUGUUAUGAUGCUGAGGAUGUGCUGGAUGAGCUGGAAUAUGAAGGCUUGUGGAAAAAGUUGGUGAAACAGUAUGGCAGUGAAUAAAGGUAAGCUGGUUCUUGUCAAGCUCAAAUCCACUUGCAUUCCGUUUCAAAAUGGGUCAUAAAAUAAAGGGACUUAGGGAGAGGCUAGAUGAGAUAGCAGAUCAGAAAUCAAAAUUUCAUCUUACUGAGCUAGUUGAUUAUUGAACAGUCGUUUGCAGACAAAGGGAGCUGUGUACAUCGAAUGUUGUUGGAAGAGAUGCGGAAAAAUAAGUAGACAUGGGACUUUGAAGAUAUACCUGUACCCUUGUCCGAUCAGUAUAUCUUAUGGGUGUCGUGUACUUUGCCAACAUCUUCGUAGGGAACAUGUUCAGUCAUGAAAUACUUUCUUGGCCAAAAUUCAUCUGAGUGUGCACGGAUGCCAUUAACAGAUAACUUCAGCAAAGAAUCUAUAGCUUUUGUCACCAACAGGUGUAUAUGGUUUUAUCCUUCAUGUAUUAUUAAUUUUUCUAAUUCCCCUUUUCCUGGUCUAAUUGGGUUAGGUGUUAACCUAUAUAGUGGAAGCUUUACGGAAUUCAUUUCAAUUGAGCCACGCACAGAGUUGCCUGAGGAGAAUGCCUGAUUUGGGUCAAGAAGAGCACGAAACGGCCACAGGAAGAGACCAGGUUAUGAUACCCAUAAGGCCAUAAAAUGAUUCUGCUUUAGAAAGAUGACGUCCAAUUUAAGAUCAUUUCAUGAGAUAUGUUGUGCUCAUUAUCAAAGCAGGCACAAGAUGAGUUAACGUGAGAAACUUCACCAUUGUCAUCAGAAGGUUAGGUGUUCAUUCAAGGACUGCAAGCUGUCAUAUACUGAAGCAAAAUAAUCCUGAAAGAGACUUCCAUAGGGAUGAGCUCAUGAGCCUAUACUUUCUCACUAUUUACUGAUACCUUAACCGCAAUGCUCGCUAGUACUGGCUAGUCAAGUUUUUUCAGCCCCCAGAUCUGCAGCCCCCCUUGCUCUUCACAAAAAAAGGAGUGCUCUGGAACUGUCCAAGAUGCCAAAGCUUCAUUAUUAUUAGGUGUUCAGAGUUGAAUGAAGGUGUUCUGCCCGAAGGAAGUCCUCUUGCUGAGACUGGGAGCAGUAAUGGCCGGCCUAGCUCAGGUCAACAUGACGAAUAAGAAAAGCGUCGAGUUCCAAAUGUAGAUGAAAUUGACCAAUCUGUGAUUGACAAGUUACCACCAGAACUCCAGGUGGAAAUUCGUGCCUCUCUUCGGUCUUGUAAGCAAAAUAGAAUAUGUUUGGUGAGUGAAGGUUGUUUGGCCGUUAGGAUGCAGUGACUUUUGGUAGCAAUGUUACUAAAAUGUGGUUGAAGUUAUAGUCCUAGUGUUCAAAUGGAGGAGAAAAGUUUUUAUUUCUCAACUAUUGUGGUCCGAGAAGUUUCACUCCUUUAAAGACAGUAUGAGUAUGUGCUAUCAAACUUGAUAUAUUUAAGGUUUAUAUGUUCUUGUUUGAUUGGAUGAAUUUUGUUUUGAUUUUGUGGUAUGUAAUAAAUAGCGAUCCAUCUUGAUUCUAUC